AAGAGUCUAAAUUUGAACCUGGCCUUCCAAGUUGUUAUGAACCUAUAUUUGCAAAACAGAGAGAAGAGUCCACAUGGAAUUGGAGGAAGAUUACGUUCCAAGGAAGGGAAGAGAGAGUAGAGAAGCGUCCAGAGAAGUUGAAACAAAUCAUACUGUUCUUACCUGGCCAGUAUACUCAGUUUCACCCCAAUUACACAGCUGUCCUCAAGACACUCCUGUGUAUCCAGAGCUGUGAGGUGAGAGAA